rnacentral:lncRNA from 1 species
UGGGUUCUGAUAUUUUAUUUCAUCUUCCCAAAACGUGACCUCAGGUUCACUAACCCCUGCAGGCCAACUGACGCUUUUCAGAGGCAAGAGGGAGAAACACAGUUGUUACGCAAGUCCUGUGAUUUCUGGAAUACGUAAGAUCCCACGUGGACUGCAAUCUUAUCACGAGCAGCAGACAUCGGUACCAUGUUUGUCAGAACACCCACCUUGUGCUGUGGUAACCUUAACAGCGGAGAUGAAGCAGCUGGUCAGCCAUGGGGACAGACCCUCCACAGCAUGGGUGUCCAGUCCUGGUCCUGGAAGGUGGGUGUAUCUGCAGGGCUUCUGGGUCUCUUCAGAGCUCCAGCACUUGAAGAGCUGGAAGAAGCUGUGAAAAUGGACCCAUGAAAUGAACUGCUUCAUGUUUUUAAGGGCUGAAUUAUCAAGUGAGAACUCAACCAGAAACAUCAGUACUCGGACAGCAACUCGGACAGUUGCAAUGUUCCUCAUUGUAUUAAAUCAUUUUGAGUAAAGAAUCC